CAACGAACGAAAGGAGGUGAUCCAGUGUCUCAUUGCCUAAAUCAGCCGCUUACCUCGGCUUACCGGACCUGGAACGUCGCCUCCGGCGCGCACGCUUAGCGCGUUAGAGGACCCCUCACCGGGUUCGGCCGAACGGACAAGCGGUUCGGCAAUGGAAGGGCCGCCCUGAUGGGGCGGCCCU
rfam:Methylobacterium sp. Leaf93 contig_4, whole genome shotgun sequence.